rnacentral:rRNA from 1 species
GAAUUUUCCACAAUGGACGAAAGUCUGAUGGAGCAACGCCGCGUGCAGGAUGAAUGCUUUCGGGUUGUAAACUGCUUUUAUAUGUGACGAUUAUGACGGUAGCAUAUGAAUAAGGAUCGGCUAAUUCCGUGCCAGCAGCCGCGGUCAUACGGAAGAUCCAAGCGUUAUCCGGAAUUACUGGGCGUAAAGAGUUGCGUAGGUGGCAUAGUAAGUAGGUAGCGAAAGCCUGGGGCUCAACCCUUUAAACAUUAUCUAAACUGCUAAGCUAGAGGGCGAGAGAGGUAACUAGAAUUCCUUGUGUAGGAGUGAAAUCCGUAGAUAUAAGGAGGAAUACCGAUGGCGUAGGCAGGUUACUGGCUCGUCCCUGACACUAAGGCACGAAAGCGUGGGGAGCAAACGGG